CCCAAAGUUAGUUGCGAAGCCCUUCCUCUAGCACCAAGUGUUGCUCCUAAUCUCCGUGUCUAAGGUCGGACAGCUGACAUGAAGAUGGCCGAAGUAAUGCUGUUGCUGGAGCUUCACCUGAGUACCUACAAAAAGUCCUCACCGGGGUGCUCUCCGGUGAAGACCCUCUAACGCUCAAGUCAAGAGAUGGAGAAUAAUGAGAAGAGAGAGUAGGAGUAGAAAACUUGCUUUAGGAGAGAGACGGACUCUACCUCGGAAGACCGUAGCUCGAACAUGGAUGACCUAAAAUAGCUCGAUAUGGUGUGUUCAGCAACCUUCGGAUCUAUUACAUAUACGCAAUCUGAUUAGUGCCUAUCUUCCGUAGUUUGACCGUGUCGAGGAUGCAUCUAGUUGAGGCCGAGGUAAAAAUCUCAAAUAAUUAUUUUCUCAAAAAAAAAUUAUUAUUAUUAUUAAACUAUCCUUGAAUAAAUACAGCCAUAGAAAUUAGAAAAUAAAAUGUUGGAAAAUUCAAUAGAAAUAUCUGUCAAAGGUGUCCGGGAGCGUAAAUCCAGUAUGAAUGGGC
rnacentral:lncRNA from 1 species